rnacentral:rRNA from 1 species
GUGAGUAACACGUGGAUAACCUACCUAUAAGACUGGGAUAACUUCGGGAAACCGGAGCUAAUACCGGAUAAUAUUUUGAACCGCAUGGUUCAAAAGUGGAAGACGGUCUUGCUGUCACUUAUAGAUGGAUCCGCGCUGCAUUAGCUAGUUGGUAAGGUAACGGCUUACCAAGGCAACGAUGCAUAGCCGACCUGAGAGGGUGAUCGGCCACACUGGAACUGAGACACGGUCCAG